GCUUGGUGUGGUGGUGCACGCCUGUAAUCCCAGCUACUUGGGAGGCUGAGACAGGAGAAUCACUUGAACCCAGGAGCUGGAGGUUGCAGUGAGCCAAGAUCGUGCCAUUGCACUUCAGCCUGGGUGACAGAGUGAGACUUUGUCUCCA
rnacentral:SRP_RNA from 1 species